GAAAACCACCAAUUACAGCGUGACAAGAAGGGUCCCACAGAGGACUGGGUAGAAAGCUGUGGAAGAGGAUGGGCUGGGAGUCUGGAAACGAAGUUUCCACCUCCCUCCUCCAAGCCCGCCCUGUUCACCUGGUGACCUCAGCUCAAGACCCCGCUUUCAUGAAGCCCUGUCUGCAAACCCAGCCAAUCGAAGCAUGACUGAUGAUCAACACACGAUGAAGGAGAAGGAAAUGAGAAAGAAAGCAAUGAAGCAAAGGAAAAGAGGAAGCAGUGCAGGAUGGCAGGCGAGUUCUUAGUAUGCACCCGGCCAUUUCCUAGCUCCACCUGCUCACUGGGCCUGGACAUGACACCAUGGUGACAAUGAACACACUAAGCAACCGGACCUUGGUCUCUAAAUACCAUUCCCAGUAAAGGACUCCUUGGAGAAAUGGCUGGUCCUAGGGCUGGGCUGGGGAAACACAAGAUGAGCCUAUUGUACCUGGUAGUGCCAGAAAGCAAGGACAUGGCUCAAAAAAGGAAAGAAUGGGGCAUGUCAAAGAGGCACAAAAGCCAACCUCAAAGAGAAGUGGUCGGGCCAGGCAUGGUGGCUCACAUCUGUAAUGCCAGCACUUUGGGAGGCCAAGAUGGGAGGAUCACUUCAGCCUAGGAGUUGGAGGCCAAGCUUAGCAACUUAGCAAGGCUCUGUCUCUACAAAAAUUUUAAACUAGCUGGGCAUGGUGGCGUGUGCCUGUAGUCCCAGCUACUCGGGAGGCUGAAGCAGGAGGAUUGCUCAAGCCCAGGAGUUCAAGACUGUAGCAAGCUAUGAUUUGCACCACUGAACUUCCGCCUGGGUGACACAGUGAGACAAGGGACAGCCUCAGGCUGGACAAAGCCACGUGUCAAGCACCCAGCAAAGCUGGGGACCAUGGAACUGGGUCCACUCCCCACAGGCUCUUGCUGUCCAUCUCCAUCACCCAAGCCCUGUGCAUGGGUCUGAGCACACUCCCUCUGUGCCACAGGCCUCCCUCCUGCUGUGGGCCCAUCUCUCCUCCCUGCAAAGGGCAGCUGAGGGCUUGGGUCACCUGCUCCUGGAGCUGCCUACCAUGGAAAAGCAUGCAGCCAGCAGAAAGCGCAUCCCCUUCUCCCGAGGUUGGAUUCUCCUGGAAGGCCCACGCCCCUGCGCCUGCCUCUUCAGAGCAAGCCAGCCCUAACACUCCUUCCUUCAGCCAACAGCCAGACGCCCAGAGAGGCCGGGAGCUAAGACACAAAUAGCGCAGCCCGGCAUUGUGCCCCUGUUCCUGGGAUGCCCAUGUGACCCUUCCAGGCCUCUCAUCUGCCUGUGUGUCUGAGGCCAUGACAUGCUGAGCACCUGCUAUGUGCCAGGCACAGCGCAAAGUGUCUCAAGCACAGCAUUGUAUUUAAUUCUCACAACUCUAAGGGUGGGAGCUGAUACUGUCACUAUCAUCGGAGAAGAACCCAAGGCCUAGGAAGUUUGAAUAACCUGCCCAGGGCCACCGGCAAGCCAGAGCUGGAGCAUGAAUCCAAAGCUCACGUUGGCCAGUCCGAGGAGUUGUGCAGUGCAGACUCACCGGAGACCACACCUGUGCUCAAGUCUGGCUCUGCCACUUAACCGCUGUGCCACCCCAAGCAAACGUCCCUACUUCUCUGAACCUUACUUUCUGUAGUGAGGAUACAAUCAACCUGCCUAACUUGCUAGGGGGUUUUAGGAGAGGCACAGAGACAGCACUUGGCUGCAAGUGGGCACCGAAUACAGUGAGUUUUUAUUAUUACUGG